rnacentral:rRNA from 1 species
UACAGAGGGUGCAAACGUUGUUCGGAAUUACUGGGCGUAAAGCGUAUGUAGGCGGCUAUGUAGGUCGGAUGUGAAAGCCUUUGGCUCAACCAAAGAAGUGCAUUCGAAACCACAUAGCUAGAGUGUUGGAGAGGAAAGUGGAAUUCCUGGUGUAGAGGUGAAAUUCGUAGAUAUCAGGAGGAACACCAGUGGCGAAAGCGGCUUUCUGGACAAACACUGACGCUGAGAUACGAAAGCGUGGGGAGCAAACAGG